rnacentral:misc_RNA from 1 species
AUAUAUAUCAACCUUCUCCUUGUUGAGAGGUUUGGAUGUGGGGGUUUGCUGGCCUCUUUAAAGGGUUCAGCUCCUCUGAAAUGCAUUAGCAGAACAAACCUGUUCAUUGGUGUGAUAACUAUCUACGCUAUUGAAUGUGAGGGGAAGUUCAGCUUUCUAACAGUCUUUGGACAAUUUAUCAUUA